AACGAACGCUGGCGGCAUGCCUAACACAUGCAAGUCGAACGAGACCUUCGGGUCUAGUGGCGCACGGGUGCGUAACGCGUGGGAACCUGCCCUUAGGUUCGGAAUAACUCCCCGAAAGGGGUGCUAAUACCGGAUAGUGUCUUCGGACCAAAGAUUUAUCGCCUUUGGAUGGGCCCGCGUUGGAUUAGCUAGUUGGUAGGGUAAAAGCCUACCAAGGCGACGAUCCAUAGCUGGUCUGAGAGGAUGAUCAGCCACACUGGGACUGAGACACGGCCCAGACUCCUACGGGAGGAAGCAGUGGGGAAUAUUGGACAAGGGGCGAAAGCCUGAUCCAGAAAUGCCGCGUGAGUGAUGAAGGCCUUAGGGUUGUAAAGCUCUUUUACCCGGGAUGAUAAUGACAGUACCGGGAGAAUAAGCUCCGGCUAACUCCGUG
rnacentral:rRNA from 1 species